rnacentral:rRNA from 1 species
AAGCGGAGGAAAAGAAACUAACAAGGAUUCCCCUAGUAGCGGCGAGCGAAGCGGGAAGAGCUCAAAUUUAUAAUCUGGCACCUUCGGUGUCCGAGUUGUAAUCUCUAGAAAUGUUUUCCGCGUUGGACCGCACACAAGUCUGUUGGAAUACAGCGGCAUAGUGGUGAGACCCCCGUAUAUGGUGCGGACGCCCAGCGCUUUGUGAUACAUUUUCGAAGAGUCGAGUUGUUUGGGAAUGCAGCUCAAAUUGGGUGGUAAAUUCCAUCUAAAGCUAAAUAUUGGCGAGAGACCGAUAGCGAACAAGUACCGUGAGGGAAAGAUGAAAAGCACUUUGGAAAGAGAGUUAACAGUACGUGAAAUUGUUGGAAGGGAAACGCUUGAAGUCAGACUUGCUUGCCGAGCAAUCGGUUUGCAGGCCAGCAUCAGUUUUCCGGGAUGGAUAAUGGUAGAGAGAAGGUAGCAGUUUCGGCUGUGUUAUAGCUCUCUGCUGGAUACAUCUUGGGGGACUGAGGAACGCAGUGUG